ACUUCGGUCCUGAGUAUAGUGGCGCACGGGUGAGUAACACGUGAAUAAUCUACCCUCGAGUGGGGAAUAACUGAGAGAAAUCUUAGCUAAUACCGCAUAACACUUACGAGUCAAAGCAGCAAUGCGCUUGGGGAGGAGUUCGCGGCAGAUUAGUUAGUUGGCGGGGUAAUGGCCCACCAAGACGAUGAUCUGUAUCCGGCCUGAGAGGGCGCACGGACACACUGGAACUGAAACACGGUCCAGACUCCUACGGGAGGCAGCAGUGGGGAACUUUGCGCAAUGGGGGAAACCCUGACGCAGCAACGCCGCGUGGAGGAUGAAGUAUCUUGGUACGUAAACUCCUUUCGAUGGGGAAGAUAAUGACGGUACCCAUAGAAGAAGCCCCGGCUAACUUCGUGCCAGCAGCCGCGGUAAUACGAGGGGGGCAAGCGUUGUUCGGAUUUAUUGGGCGUAAAGGGUGCGUAGGCGGUUUGGCAAGUCUUAUGUGAAAUCUAUGGGCUCAACCCAUAGUCUGCAUGAGAAACUACCGGGCUUGAGUAUUGGAGAGGUGAGUGGAAUUUCCGGUGUAGCGGUGAAAUGCGUAGAUAUCGGAAGGAACACCUGUGGCGAAAGCGGCUCACUGGACAAUAACUGACGCUGAUGCACGAAAGCUAGGGGAGCAAACAGGAUUAGAUACCCUGGUAGUCCUAGCCCUAAACGAUGAUUGCUUGGUGUGGCAGGUACCCAAUCCUGCCGUGCCGAAGCUAACGCGAUAAGCAAUCCGCCUGGGGAGUACGGUCGCAAGGCUGAAACUCAAAGGAAUUGACGGGGGCCCGCACAAGCGGUGGAGCAUGUGGUUUAAUUCGACGCAACGCGAAGAACCUUACCUGGGCUCGAAAUGUACAUGAAUCCCGGCAGAAACGUCGGCGUCUAGCAAUAGACAU
rnacentral:rRNA from 1 species